rnacentral:rRNA from 1 species
GACGAACGCUGGCGGCGUGCUUAACACAUGCAAGUCGAACGGAAAGGCCCUGCUUUUGUGGGGUGCCCGAGUGGCGAACGGGUGAGUAACACGUGAGUAACCUGCCCUUGACUUUGGGAUAACUUCAGGAAACUGGGGCUAAUACCGGAUAGGAGCUCCUGCUGCAUGGUGGGGGUUGGAAAGUUUCGGCGGUUGGGGAUGGACUCGCGGCUUAUCAGCUUGUUGGUGGGGUAGUGGCUUACCAAGGCAUUGACGGGUAGCCGGCCUGUGAGGGUGACCGGCCACAUUGGGACUGAGAUACGGCCCAGACUCCUACGGGAGGCAGCAGUGGGGAAUAUUGCACAAUGGGCGGAAGCCUGAUGCAGCAACGCCGCGUGCGGGAUGACGUCCUUCGGGUUGUAAACCGCUUUCGCCUGUGACGAAGCGUGAGUGACGGUAAUGGAUAAAGAAGCACCGGCUAACUACGUG